AAAAAUUACGAUUAACAAAUAAACAAAGUAAUUUAAUUUUUAGAAUAUAUACAUAAAUAUACCCAGAAACAAAUAAACCCGAACCGAGGACCCGAUAUGAACCUUAGAAUCCGAAACAAUUAAGCCGGCGUCCAUGGGAGAGAGAAAAGGUCAGUAUCACCUACCUGUACCUGAUGUAAUCAAAGGAGAAGUAAGUUGUGGUUCAUCCAUUGAUUGCAGCUAACGGCGUCGUUUUCUCUUUCCUUUUCUUUUCUGUUUCAGCUAAGUUGACUAUAGCCUCACCGGAGCUUUCCGAAUACAAAUGAAUUCAGAUGAUCGGAAAGAAGGGGAAGAAUUUGAAUUGAAUAAAAAGGCCGAGGUGAAAGGAGGGACUCUUAUUCAUUUAAUUUAUUACCCAACAGUUCUGGUGAGUUGAGUAUAUUCUGAAAACGGAUUUUUUUUAGGACAAUAACUUCUUUUAAGCCCUCAUCUUUCCAUUUUUUUGCACAUUUACCCCUCUCCCCCUGUUCUACUUUAAUUAUAUGAUAUGGACAUAGAUUAUUAUUGUUGAUAAUUGUUGCAUUUUCUAUAAAUCAUGGGUACCAACUAGUGCAUGGGAAUUGUAACAAAAUUCAAGUGAAACUUAUAAAAUUUGAUCUGAAGAUAUUCUCAUUAGUUUUAUUUGAUGAAUCCAAAUUGAAAAGAUUAUCAAACAAUUAUCUUGUGUAAGUUGGGGAGAAAAAAGUUGAGUUUUUGUGUUAAUGACGACCUAUAACUACAUGUAGCAUCAUUUGGAGCAGAACAAAAUUGUAGAAAUUUAAAACAUACUUGAGCAUUUUAAAGCUGAAGAUAUCUCUUGAGAGCAGUGAGAAUUGUGAUUUAUCAUCACAAAGAAAACAUUCAAAUAGACUAGCUGUAGAUAAAAAUUCGGAAAACUAGUUUAAAAAAGACUGGAACUUUAAGCCACUGAACUGGCUGAUGAAAAUGAGCAGGAACUCCCAGAUGUUCAACAGAACAACUUGAACAUCAAUAGAGUUUUUUCACAGCUGGGGGCUGUUUGAACUUGUGAUCUCUGCUGCAGAUUUGUUGUAUUCUUCCAAUUCCUUCCUGUAUGCAUCCAUAGCUCCUGCAGCUUUCUGGUUCCAACUCUGCUUUUCUUCUUGGCUUAUUUCCUACAUAAUCAAACAAACCAAAUCCCAUUUGAGAAUUAACUAAUUGUCAUUUGUCAGCUUGAAAAUAUUGUGAUCUUGAUUUAAUAUUAUAACACACCUUCCAUUUCACAGAAAUGAGAGCAUUGAGUGUGGAGUUGUUAAUUCCAGGACGCUCUUCCACUAAAGUUUUCCUUGCUUCUUUGCUGAACAGGAGGAAUGAGGAUGCUGG
rnacentral:lncRNA from 1 species